ACACGACUACAUUAGAUACCCGGGUAGUCCCAGCUGUAAACGAUGCAGACUGGGUGUUUGGACGGCCACGUGCCGUUCUAGUGCCGCAGGGAAGCUGUUAAGUCUGCCGCCUGGGGAGUACGAUCGCAAGAUUGAAACUUAAAGGAAUUGGCGGGGGAGCACCACAAGGGGUGAAGCUUGCGGUUUAAUUGGACUCAACGCCGGGAAGCUCACCGGAUAAGACAGCGGAAUGAUUGCCGGGCUGAAGACCCUGCAUGACCAGCUG
rnacentral:rRNA from 1 species